ensembl:lncRNA
AUGUGUUUUUAUUUUGCCGAUAACUGUCUGUGCUGUUUAGCUUGUUGUGUUUUAUGGGAAAUAACAGUAGACAUUAUGAGGUGGAGGUGGUGUCAUCCUGAUCUUGACUUGUACACCGUACCUUUAAGUGGCUUAACCAAAGUGACUUACAUUUACAUUACAUUUACAUUUAGUCAUUUAGCAGACGCUUUUAUCCAAAGCGACUUACAAAUGAGUUAGUCAUGUUAGCACUCGGCUAACGUAUCCACCUAGUGUUCACAGUUUAGCAGCUAAACUUUAGCUGUGGGCACGAUUCGCUUGCAUAAGUGUUUUUGUAUUUUAUGUCAUUAUAAGAACGGAUUGACUAUAUUAUUGUUUUAUGUAAAGGUGCUUUGUCAACGGUAGCGCUGGCUAACUGGCUCAAGGACUCAUCUCUGUGCCAAUCACAAAAGGUUUGGCCAGCUGACCAAUCAGAGCAGAGUAGGCUUGAGGAAGGGAGGGGCUUGCUCCGAACUUGCUUGAAACUAAUCAUUUCCUAAUCAUUGGCAAAUGACUCUAAUAUUAAAUGUAUAUUCUGAGAAAAUUACAAUGUUUUCUGACCUUAGAUGCAUUUAAACCUGAUGUAGGGGACUCCAAUACAAUAUUGGGACACUUUAAAAUACCAUAAUGCCUGCUCUUUAAAUUGCAUGAUAAAAAAAUCUAAAAUAUUUUCUGAUAAAAUCUUACUAAACAAGUCUCUAGUAUUGUGUUCAGUUAACAUUAUCCUUCAACAUUUUUAAGUUAAAAAAUGUUCGAUUCAUUUUGUAUUGUUACAGUGUUGGUUCCAUUUGUAAAAGAACAAUGUUUAUUCUUUCUCCAAGAUACCGUUUAUUUGCCAGCAAAACUGAUGCAAAACAGCAUUUUUUUCAUUUGGAUGCUGCAUUGUCAUUUUGUCAAAACUCUUCAUUUCAUUUUGCAUCAUCCUACAGAGUGCUGCUUACAAAUAAAAGGGGACAUGUAGGUACACAUAACUCAGAGAAAGAGUAAAUAUUGUUAAUUUACAGAUAUUAGAGAUGUUGUAAUAAUACAAAGAGGGUUGAAAAUCAUCACAUUUACCCUUAUAAGCAAUAUAAGGAUAAUAUUUGUUUUGUGUGUCCAAUGUUUUGUGUGUCCAUGUACAGUUGCUGUCAUCUGUAGUCUUUGUGAGCACUGGCAUCAUCUGAAGUCUUCACAAGUGAAUUUGGAUUCAGUCUGGAGCUGGUGUAAUCUAGUAACCUUGAGAUGGGCAUCCUGACAUAGAAACAGGAAAUCAAAAGAAGAAAGUUUAGCAUAGCUGCUGCUGUUCAUAUUAUUUCAGACAAAAGAUGACUUAUUCCAUGACAUAUAACUGGAGUGCAUGGUUAUUAGAUGUGUUGUGUGAAUGCUAAAAUAUUUAUUUUAAUCUAAUUUAAACUAAAAGAGUGUGUCCGAGCCCCAAUUAUUAUUAGGAAGGCUAUUUCAAAGUAAAAUACCAAAAAGUUCUACUUCCUUUAGUGGACUUUGAUCCUUGUUAUUAGAAUUUUGUGACCUCACUACAGGCCAAGCACCAUAGUUGCUGCUGCCCCCAUUAAUGCUUAUUUUGCUAUAUAUAUCUGAUUUAAUGACAAGUAGGUUUAAUAAACGCACAUCCAAAAACUUUAGGCAGGUGCUCAAUCACAUGAUACACUUCACCAAUCAAUAAACAAAAAUCGACACACUGCCACUAAUGCUCUCAAAAAUCAAUUUAUUGAUGAAGUGUUUCAUGUGAUCCCUUAGUAAAUGUAUUAUUUGUGGAACAGGCAGUCUCUUUAGAAUGGAAUACACAUGCCACAGUACCAUUUAAGUAGGUGGAACAUCAUAUUUGUAAUUUACACUACCGUUAAAGGUUUGGGGUUAGUAAGAUUUUUUACGUCUUUGAGAGAAGUCUCUUCUGCUCACCAAGGCUGCAUUUAUUUGAUCAAAAUGAAGUAAAAACAGUAAUAUUGUGAAAUAUUAUUACAAUUUAACACAACAGUUUUCUAUGUGAAUAUUUUGUGAAUAUCUCAUUUUUAUUUCUCCAGUCUUCAGUGUCACAUGAUCCUUCAGAAAUCAUACUGAUCUGCUGCUCAAGAAACAUUUUUGAUUAUUAUCAAUGUCUUAUCAAUUAUCAAAAGUUAGAACAAACAUUUCUGUUUCAAAUAAACACUGUACUGUUUUAAAACUUUAUUCAUCAAAGAAUCUUGAAAAAAAUGAAGCAGCACAGCUGUUUUCAACUGAUAAUAAUCAGAAAUGUUUCUUCAGAAGCAAAUCAGAAUAUAAGAAUGAUUUCUGAAGGAUCAUGUGACACUGAAGACUGGAGUAAUGAUGCUGAAAAUCCAGCUUUACCAUCACAGGAAUAAAUUAGGGGAGAGUGGGGUAAAGUGAGACAUUUUUUACAUUAGCUCCCCUCUAACCGAGCUAAAAUGAUAUAUCAGUAAAAUUUACACAUUUCCCAUUAAUUCAGGGUUUUUCCUAGCAAUGGAAAUUAUUGGAAUUUAUUCAGGACGAAGGGGUAAACUGAGACAGACCAGAAAAAUCGAGGGGGUAAAGUGAACCAGCUCGGGGUAAACUGAUCCACUUACUUUUUCCACUCUGAAACUACCAUAACAACACAUUGUAACAGUUAGAAUCCUGACAACUAACUUGACAACCACACAUUCCAGAACUAAUGUCGGACUAGUAACAGAAUCAUGGGGAUUGGUCAAUUAACCCUCUGGAGUCUAAGGGUAUUUUUGGGGCCUGGAGAAGUUUUGUCAUGCCCUGACAUUUGUGCUUUUUUCAGUUUCUUAUAAAUAUCUAAAUGGCUAAAGUCUAAUCUCACUGUAAUCAGCACAAACUGGGCUAUAAUAAUAUGUGAGCAGCAUGUAUGUACAUGAUUGUGUUUUUGAGAAAAAAAAUGUUAUGCAUGGUUAGUGAAAAACUAAAAAUGUUAAAUCACUUGAAUAAGGCAAUAAAACACAUAUAGAAAAUUGGUUCCCAGGAAUUUUGAGAACUGGAGCUUGUAGCCUAGAAUUUUUUUUUUCUAAAUGAUGUGAAAAUCAUCUUGUUUACUCACUUACAGAAAACAAUAUAUUGAUUUAAAUUUUUCUAAAACACUUUUUUUGUUGGUAAAAAGUCAUAUGCGAGUAGGCGUCAACUAUCAUGAAUUCACACCUGAGAAGACAAAGGCCUGCAUAAUGAGCUGCAUAAUGAGCCAUUCAGUCAGCUGUGUCACUGAGAGGGAUGAGUUACAAGAAAGAAUGUGAGGACAAAAUAAAUGUAUAUAAUUUUAUGUUUGUAGUUUAUUUAGAAUAUAUUUAAUUAUCCCACAACAUAAUUUAAUAUUCACUUGUGAGUGCAGUUAAACAGUUUAUUAGGAAAAAUCAAAGCUGACUUUCAAACUGAAUUUUUUGCAUCAUUACUCCAGUCACACAAUCCUUCAGAAAUCCUUUCAACAAUCUUAUUUUCUACAAAAAAACAUUUAUUGUUAUUAUUAUCAUUAUUAUUAUUAUUAUUAUUAUUAUUAUUAUUAUUAUUAUUAUUAUUAUUAUUAUUAUUAUUAUUAAUGUUGAAAAGAGCUGAGAAUAUUUUUUUCAGGUUUUUUAGGGGGGAUAAAUUGAAAGAACAGCAAUGAUUGUUACAUUUGUUACAGUUACAUUUAUUGUUACAUUUAUAUUAUUUACAUCAAGCUUUUUGAAUGGUAUAGUAGUGUAUAUUGUUAUUGAAACUUCAUAAUAUUUCACUUGAUUAUACAUUUAGUCAGGAAUUAUAGUUUGGAAAAAGUCUUUGGAAAAAGUCCAACUAGUAAAAUGUUUACACGUUAUGUGAAAACUAGUACAAGUAUAUAAAUAAAUAAGAGACUUACUCAUGUUUAUGAUCUCUGCUGAAUAAAGUGCUUCAUUCUUUUUUCUGAGAAAAUACAAAUCUCAAAUCCUCAACCACAUCACAUCUUUUUGGGGUGAAUUAUGUCUUAUUCCUCUCAUCGCGAAGCAAACAGUAAAAUAAAAAAACUUGAAGAACAGUCUCGCUGCGUUGUCUUCUGUUGUGUGGGCGUAUUCAAAAGCCGCGCGCUUCAGUGAAACAUUUGAAUCUCAAAAGCGCGCUCGGCGCGGGGGCGUGGUCGCAUUAGAAGAUAAUGAAGGGAGACGUGAAAAACGGACAUCGCGUUGUUUUCAUAUGGAUUACUUUAUCACAGAAUAUUUGUUUUCAGCAGCACUUGUUUAGUUUAAAAGUAGACAUGUCAGGCUUUCUAUAGAUAUCUCUCUCGUGUCUCUUCGUUGAGUAUUCACGGAGUUACAGUUCAUUUUAAUGACGCAUUUGUAACUGAAGAUCAGCGCAGACAAAGGCUGCAGACAGCACUCCUUGUUUGUUAUCUUUAUUUUAUAAGUGCACAAAGUUUUGUUGUUAUUAUGUCUGUAUACAAAAAAAAGUACACCCUUUACAGAUUCGAUUGAUGUAUUGCUCUUAUCUGUACGAUCAAAACUGAAAGUGUAAUUUAAGUUCUUUUCGGGGUUAUCAGGAGAAAAUACCCCAAAACGCGUAUACGCGUUAAUCGACUCCAGAGGGUUAAGCACACUCUGAACAAAAUCAAAAAGAACAUUGGCUAAUAUAAUUCAAAAUGUUUUAAUUAACAUUCAAAUGACAGAUAGAACCAGUUAGAUUAGAACACAGUCUGGGGGUCAGAACACAGGACCCUUAGAGCCAGCUAGUGUCUGGGGGUCAGAGCAAAGGACAAUCAGACCCAGCUAGAACAGCCUGGGACUCAGAACACAGGACUAGACCCACCUGGAUUAGAACAUCAGCCUACUGUCAUACUUUACAACUAGGCUUACUCUACAUUCCAGCCCUGAAGGUUACAGGGAAAGAUGAGGAGUUGCUCUCUCCGUGUGGUUCCUCCAGGCCUUUUAGGUUGAGGCAGCUUCUUC